rnacentral:rRNA from 1 species
AGUGAACGCUGGCGGUAGGCCUAACACAUGCAAGUCGAACGGCAGCACAGUAAGAGCUUGCUCUUACGGGUGGCGAGUGGCGGACGGGUGAGGAAUACAUCGGAAUCUAUUUUUUCGUGGGGGAUAACGUAGGGAAACUUACGCUAAUACCGCAUACGACCUACGGGUGAAAGCAGGGGAUCUUCGGACCUUGCGCGAUUGAAUGAGCCGAUGUCGGAUUAGCUAGUUGGCGGGGUAAAGGCCCACCAAGGCGACGAUCCGUAGCUGGUCUGAGAGGAUGAUCAGCCACACUGGAACUGAGACACGGUCCAGACUCCUACGGGAGGCAGCAGUGGGGAAUAUUGGACAAUGGGCGCAAGCCUGAUCCAGCCAUACCGCGUGGGUGAAGAAGGCCUUCGGGUUGUAAAGCCCUUUUGUUGGGAAAGAAGAGCAGCAGGUUAAUACCCCGCUGUUCUGACGGUACCCAAAGAAUAAGCACCGGCUAACUUCGUG